CUCUCUCUCUCUCUCUCUCCUCUCUCUCUCUCUCUCCUUUCCAUGUCUCGCCAAAACAUCACGACCACGGCAAGGGAUCGCCGGCGACUAGGGAUGGCCGGUGGUCAGACCUCACCGAACUAGGUUAGCGAGUCAGGCGUACGGAGAGUAGCAGGUUGAUGGAGUUUCGGAUGAGCUCCUAUCAUUAUUUAUUAUUAGUAGUUAUUUAGAACUCCACAGUAGUUAUGAUUUACUUUCAGACAUUUAGAGUUGUAUUUCAUUUUGUAAAGACUGAGUACCUAAGUACUAUUUCAUUUGACUCUAUAUAUUGAGACACUUCACAUUGGUUUUAGUUUAUCAGUUGUACUUCAUUUUACUCAGUUGGAACAUGAUUAUAUUA